GACGAACGCUGGCGGCGUGCUUAACACAUGCAAGUCGAACGGAAAGGCCCUGCUUGCAGGGUACUCGAGUGGCGAACGGGUGAGUAACACGUAGGUGAUCUGCCCUGCACUUCGGGAUAAGCCUGGGAAACUGGGUCUAAUACCGGAUAGGAGCCAUUUUUAGUGUGAUGGUUGGAAAGUUUUUUCGGUGUAGGAUGAGCUCGCGGCCUAUCAGCUUGUUGGUGGGGUAAUGGCCUACCAAGGCGGCGACGGGUAGCCGGCCUGAGAGGGUGGACGGCCACAUUGGGACUGAGAUACGGCCCAGACUCCUACGGGAGGCAGCAGUGGGGAAUAUUGCACAAUGGGCGCAAGCCUGAUGCAGCGACGCCGCGUGGGGGAUGACGGCCUUCGGGUUGUAAACGCCUUUCGCUAGGGACGAAGCUUUUUGUGACGGUACCUAGAUAAGAAGCACCGGCUAACUACGUG
rnacentral:rRNA from 1 species